rnacentral:rRNA from 1 species
UUGAACGCUGGCGGCAUGCUUUACACAUGCAAGUCGAACGGCAGCGCGGGCUUCGGCCUGGCGGCGAGUGGCGAACGGGUGAGUAAUACAUCGGAACGUGCCCAGUAGUGGGGGAUAGCUCGGCGAAAGCCGGAUUAAUACCGCAUACGACCUGAGGGUGAAAGCGGGGGAUCUUCGGACCCCGCGCUAUUGGCGCGGCCGAUGGCAGAUUAGCUAGUUGGUGGGGUAAAGGCCUACCAAGGCGACGAUCUGUAGCUGGUCUGAGAGGACGACCAGCCACACUGGGACUGAGACACGGCCCAGACUCCUACGGGAGGCAGCAGUGGGGAAUUUUGGACAAUGGGCGAAAGCCUGAUCCAGCAAUGCCGCGUGUGUGAUGAAGGCCUUCGGGUUGUAAAGCACUUUUGGAGGGAACGAAAAGGACUGUGCCAAUACCACGGUUCGAUGACGGUACCCGCAGAAUAAGCACCGGCUAACUACGUG